UACGUAGGGGGCAAGCGUUGUUCGGAAUUAUUGGGCGUAAAGGGUGCGUAGGCGGUUUGGUAAGUCUUGUGUGAAAUCUACAGGCUCAACUUGUAGUCUGCACGAGAAACUGCCGGGCUUGAGUGUGGGAGAGGUGAGUGGAAUUCCUGGUGUAGCGGUGAAAUGCGUAGAUAUCAGGAGGAACACCUGUGGCGAAAGCGGCUCACUGGACCAUAACUGACGCUGAUGCACGAAAGCUAGGGGAGCAAACAGG
rnacentral:rRNA from 1 species